CCUACGGGUGGCAGCAGUCGAGAAUCAUUCACAAUGGGGGAAACCCUGAUGGUGCGACGCCGCGUGGGGGAAUGAAGGUCUUCGGAUUGUAAACCUCUUUAGGCGGGGAGCAAUGCCGGGCACGCGUGCCCGGAGGGAGAGUACCCGCAGAAUAAGCAUCGGCUAACUCCGUGCCAGCAGCCGCGGUAAUACGGAGGAUGCGAGCGUUAUCCGGAUUUAUUGGGUUUAAAGGGUGCGUAGGCGGAUUUUUAAGUCAGCGGUAAAAUGUCCGGGCUCAACCCGGGCCGGCCGUUGAAACUGGGGAUCUUGAGUGGGCGAGAAGUAUGCGGAAUGCGUGGUGUAGCGGUGAAAUGCAUAGAUAUCACGCAGAACUCCGAUUGCGAAGGCAGCAUACCGGCGCCCGACUGACGCUGAGGCACGAAAGCGUGGGGAUCGAACAGGAUUAGAUACCCUUGUAGUC
rnacentral:rRNA from 1 species